rnacentral:rRNA from 1 species
AGCGUAUAUUAAAGUUGUUGCAGUUAAAAAGCUCGUAGUUGAAUUUCGGGAUCAAUAUGUCGGUCGUGCCUUCGGUACGUACUGGCNUCAUUGGUUUCUCCCUUCUGACAAACCAUGAUGUCAUUAAUUUGGUGUUAUGGGGAGUUAGGACUGUUACUUUGAAAAAAUUAGAGUGUUUAAAGCAGGCAUUAGCUUGAAUACAUUANCAUGGAAUAAUGAAAUAGGACGUUUGACCCUAUUUUGUUGGUUUCUAGGAUCGACGUAAUGAUUAAUAGGGAUAGUUGGGGGCAUUAGUAUUCAAUUGUCANAGGUGAAAUUCUUGGAUUUAUUGAAGACUAACUACUGCGAAAGCAUUUGCCAAGGAUGUUUUCAUUAAUCAAGAACGAAAGUUAGGGGAUCGAAGACGAUCAGAUAUCGUCGUAGUCUUAACCAUAAAC